rnacentral:rRNA from 1 species
AUUGAACGCUGGCGGCAAGCCUAACACAUGCAAGUCGAACGGUAGCACAGGGGAGCUUGCUCCCUGGGUGACGAGUGGCGGACGGGUGAGUAAUGUCUGGGAAACUGCCCGAUGGAGGGGGAUAACUACUGGAAACGGUAGCUAAUACCGCAUAACGUCUUCGGACCAAAGUGGGGGACCUUCGGGCCUCACACCAUCGGAUGUGCCCAGAUGGGAUUAGCUAGUAGGUGGGGUAAUGGCUCACCUAGGCGACGAUCCCUAGCUGGUCUGAGAGGAUGACCAGCCACACUGGAACUGAGACACGGUCCAGACUCCUACGGGAGGCAGCAGUGGGGAAUAUUGCACAAUGGGCGCAAGCCUGAUGCAGCCAUGCCGCGUGUAUGAAGAAGGCCUUCGGGUUGUAAAGUACUUUCAGCGGGGAGGAAGGCGAUGCGGUUAAUAACCGCGUCGAUUGACGUUACCCGCAGAAGAAGCACCGGCUAACUCCGUGCCAGCCGCCGCCGUAA